rnacentral:rRNA from 1 species
GUCGUCAGCUCGUGUUGUGAAAUGUUGGGUUAAGUCCCGCAACGAGCGCAACCCUUAUCCUUUGUUGCCAGCGAUUAGGUCGGGAACUCAAAGGAGACUGCCAGUGAUAAACUGGAGGAAGGUGGGGAUGACGUCAAGUCAUCAUGGCCCUUACGAGUAGGGCUACACACGUGCUACAAUGGCAUAUACAAAGAGAAGCGACCUCGCGAGAGCAAGCGGACCUCAUAAAGUAUGUCGUAGUCCGGAUUGGAGUCUGCAACUCGACUCCAUGAAGUCGGAAUCGCUAGUAAUCGUGGAUCAGAAUGCCACGGUGAAUACGUUCCCGGGCCUUGUACACACCGCCCGUCACACCAUGGGAGUGGGUUGCAAAAGAAGUAGGUAGCUUAACCUUCGGGAGGGCGCUUACCACUUUGUGAUUCAUGACUGGGGUGAAGUCGUAACAAGGUAACCGUAGGGGAACCUGCGGUUGGAUCACCUCCUUACCU